rnacentral:rRNA from 1 species
CAGUCGCCACGGGAAUACGAAGGGGGCUAGCGUUGUUCGGAAUUACUGGGCGUAAAGGGCGCGUAGGCGGCCAUUCAAGUUAGAUGUGAAAGCCCUGGGCUCAACCUAGGAAUUGCAUUUGAUACUGUUUGGCUUGAGUUCGGGAGAGGUGAGUGGAAUUCCCAGUGUAGAGGUGAAAUUCGUAGAUAUUGGGAAGAACACCAGUGGCGAAGGCGGCUCACUGGACCGACACUGACGCUGAGGCGCGAAAGCGUGGGGAGCAAACAGGAUUAGAUACCCGGGUAGUCCCUGUCUCUUAUAC